GCAGUAGCCACGGUAAUACGAAGGGUGCAAGCGUUACUCGGAAUUACUGGGCGUAAAGCGUGCGUAGGUGGUGGUUUAAGUCCGUUGUGAAAGCCCUGGGCUCAACCUGGGAAUUGCAGUGGAUACUGGCGAGCUAGAGUGUGUCAGAGGAUGGUGGAAUUCCCGGUGUAGCGGUGAAAUGCGUAGAGAUCGGGAGGAACAUCAGUGGCGAAGGCGGCCAUCUGGGACAACACUGACGCUGAGGCACGAAAGCGUGGGGAGCAAACAGGAUUAGAUACCCCAGUAGUCCCUGUCUCUUAUAC
rnacentral:rRNA from 1 species